CGGGGAGGGCCUGAGUCUCCCAGCCCCUGCGGGGACCCCCGGCAGCUCCUGCUCUGAAGGUGACACUAGUCCACGCUCAGCGAUGUAAGAUCCCAUUCCUCCGGCCCUGAACUGAAUCCAACAGCUUUUUCUUGCUGGCAAGGCCUGCUCCGCCAACCCCCCCCCACCCCCCCGCCUUUUCACCUCCCAAGCCUCCUUUGAGGAACAGCCGGCAGCUGCUGCGACCAUGGAAGCGCCCCAGCUACGGCCCCAUCUCUCGCCCCCGGGCCUUUUUAAUCUAUGGUCUUCAGUGCAGUGUUAGCUCCACACUGCUGGGGGUGAUGGGGAGCGAGGUGGAGGGACGGCCAGAGCCCAUCAGACCUCCGGGCCGGGCAGCCGUGGCGCUGCUCGGCCUGUGUCCCGGAGCCCCCGAGCAGGAGCUGCGCCGACCGGGACGUUCGCAGCGGCUCUCUCUGUGGCAGCAGAGAUUGGGUGGAGGGGAUGCCCCUCGGCGGGGAACGAACCGGCGGCGGCGGCAGAGGGGACGGAGGGGACGGACAGCAUCGUGGAGGGGAAGCAUCAGCACAAGCUGCCGAGACUUACCCAAAGUGAAGGGGCUGCAACCAGGAGACCAGUGACAGGGAGACCGGUUACAGCAGCUGGGUCGGGAGCAGCCCUGACUCGGUCCCUCCCGGCACAACAAGGAUCCGAGACAGUUCCAGGGAAGAGGGAUUCCGGGCCCCUGCAGAGGCCGUGGGGCUGAGCGGACUGGAGCAGGCGGCGCCUCCUUUCCUUUGGGCCUGUUUUCUUUCACAACCUGGGUAAGGAGGACGUCCGUGUGUAUGACGGCACGUGUAGAACCCGGGUCACGGUGCUCACCGUCCUAGGGAGGAGGGACCGGUCGGAGGAGAAUUUGGG